rnacentral:rRNA from 1 species
AACGAACGCUGGCGGCAUGCCUAACACAUGCAAGUCGAACGAGACCUUCGGGUCUAGUGGCGCACGGGUGCGUAACGCGUGGGAACCUGCCCUUAGGUUCGGAAUAACUCCCCGAAAGGGGUGCUAAUACCGGAUAAUGUCUUCGGACCAAAGAUUUAUCGCCUUUGGAUGGGCCCGCGUUGGAUUAGCUAGUUGGUAGGGUAAAAGCCUACCAAGGCUACGAUCCAUAGCUGGUCUGAGAGGAUGAUCAGCCACACUGGGACUGAGACACGGCCCAGACUCCUACGGGAGGAAGCAGUGGGGAAUAUUGGACAAUGGGCGAAAGCCUGAUCCAGCAAGGCCGCGUGAGUGAUGAAGGCCUUAGGGUUGUAAAGCUCUUUUAACCGGGAUGAUAAUGACAGUACCGGGAGAAUAAGCGCCGGCUAACUCCGUG